rnacentral:lncRNA from 1 species
GUAACUGAUGACGGGCAUAUAGUCCCAUUUAUGCUUAUGCAUUUAAACUUUAUACUUGUGCACAAUGUAGGGUACGAUAGGCUGAUCACCUGGAGUACUUGCAGAGACCAUUUACAAUCUAUUUGAUUGUUAAACCGUCUGAUGGUUUUUGAUGAAACAAAGUAAUGUUCAGGGUAUCUAACACCCCUUAGUAUGUUAUUGAGAAUUCCAGAACUCUUAUCUUGAUAUUCC